rnacentral:rRNA from 1 species
GGAAGGCUAAUCCUCCCAGGGUGAGUCGGGAGCUAAGACGAGGCCGAGAGGCGUAGUCGAUGCACAACCGGUUGAUAUUCCGGUACCACUGUGAGCACGACCAGGCUCAACCAUUGUUGCUAAGGGGAUGCUAGGAGCCCGUAAAAAGGCACCUAGAGGAACCGACCCACAAUGGAGCGGCCAGCAAUGCGGGGACGCAGGAAGGUAGGUGAACCCACCCGAUGGUAGAGGUGGGGUAAGUAUGUAGGGCGGGUCCCAGGAAAAUCCGGUACCCACUAAGCCUGAGAUACGACGCCGACUCGAUUAAGAGGAAGUCAUUGAUCCUAUGCUGCCAAGAAAAGCCGCUAGCGAGUUCUCACGGUGCCCGUACCCCAAACCAACACAGGUGGAUAGGUAGAGAAUACCAAGGCGAUUGGGAGAACUGUGGUUAAGGAACUCGGCAAAUUGCAUCCGUAACUUCGGGAGAAGGAUGACCUCAUUAAAGUGAUGGAACUUGCUUCCUGAGCUUGAAGAGGUGUCACAAACCAGAGGGAAGCGACUGUUUACUAAAAACACAGCAGCGUGCUAAGCCGUAAGGCGCUGUAUACGCUGUGACGCCUGCCCGGUGCCGGAAGGUUACGGGGACGGGUUAGCCCUUUAGGGCGAAGCUCUGAACCUAAGCCCCGGUAAACGGCGGCCGUAACUAUAACGGUCCUAAGGUAGCGAAAUUCCUUGUCGGGUAAGUUCCGACCUGCACGAAUGGCGUAACGACUUCCCUACUGUCUCAACCACAGACCCAGCGAAAUUGAAGUACGAGUAAAGAUGCUCGUUAGCUACAGAAGGACGGAAAGACCCCGUGGACCUUUACUACAACUUGGUAUUGAUGUUUGACCUUCACUGUGCAGGAUAGGUGGGAGACUUUGAAGCGCAUGCGCCAGUGUGCGUGGAGUCAUCCUUGAAAUACCACCCUGUGUAUGUUGAACAUCUAACCUCGAACCGUUAUCCGGUUUAGGAACAGUGCCAGGCGGGUAGUUUGACUGGGGCGGUCGCCUCCCAAAGAGUAACGGAGGCGCCCAAAGGUUCCCUCAGCCUGGUUGGCAAUCAGGCAUCGAGUGCAAUGGCAGAAGGGAGCUUGACUGCGAGACCUACAAGUCGAGCAGGGUCGAAAGACGGGCAUAGUGAUCCGGCGGUUGCGUGUGGAAGCGCCGUCGCUCAACGGAUAAAAGGUACCCCGGGGAU